rnacentral:rRNA from 1 species
AGAAUCAACGCUGGCGGCGUGCCUAACACAUGCAAGUCGAACGAGAAAGUGGAGCAAUCCAUGAGUAAAGUGGCGACCGGGUGAGUAACACGUGACUAACCUACCCUACAGUGGGGGAUAACUCCGGGAAACCGGGGCUAAUACCGCAUAACAUCGUAAGAUCAAAGGAGCAAUUCGCUGAAGGAGGGGUCGCGGCUGAUUAGUUAGUUGGUGAGGUAACGGCUCACCAAGACGAAGAUCAGUAGCCGGCCUGAGAGGGCGCACGGCCACACUGGAACUGAAACACGGUCCAGACUCCUACGGGAGGCAGCAGUGGGAAUUUUGCGCAAUGGGGGAAACCCUGACGCAGCAACGCCGCGUGGAGGAUGAAGUCCCUUGGGAUGUAAACUCCUUUCGAUCGGGACGAUUAUGACGGUACCGGAAGAAGAAGCACCGGCUAACUCUGCGCCAGCAGCCGC